ACAGGAACUCUCAGAAAAGAUCUUUUAUCUAAGGAGACAUUCACAUGGUCUCUUAUCAAAAGCCACAUAUAUUCAAAGAGAAGGAAUGACCAAGACAGAUAGCCUUCUUUCCUGAGAUAUUUAGACAAGGAAGAUGGAUCUGUUCAAACUCAUCGGUCUGAUCACCCAGCCAGAGAGGGGAACAGUUCUGUGAAGUCUUUAGGAUGCCUUUUU